CACUACAGUGAACCCCCUAACUACUACAGUUUUCCUUUACUUAAGUAAAACGUAUGAGGAAUUUUAUGCCACACGCUUAAGUAAUUAAUUUCCUCAGGUAAUGGAAACUUAAGGUUUAUAUACUUAAAAUAAAUAAACAGGCACUGAGAGGUGAGCAGCACAUCCUGUUUUGUUUAUCCUCUGGCUGUUCAUCUUUUAUCAUGGAAGAGGAUGUUUAUGACUUUUUACAGUCAUAACAGAAAACACAAGAGGAAAUAAAGCAAUGACCAGAUGCUGAAGAGAGGCCAUCACUUGAACGUACGGAUUCUGACUUUCAGCAUGAUGAGUCUCCAAAAAAAGAAGAAGAGAAAGGCCUGUCCAGUCAAGAGGAAAUCAAAAUCAGAGAGGGAGACCUGUGUUCACGGAAAUGAGGAGCACAGCAUGAGGAGCAG